CAAUGAUAUAAUUAAGAGAAAUUAAGAAUAAUAACUCUAAUCAUAUAUGUAAUUACUAGAUUAACUCUUUAUAUUUUUGUAAUUACUAUAAUAAUACAGCUAUCAAGCAAAAAGACAUAAAAAUCCUUUAGCCAUUGAAAAUCAUUAAUAGAAUACAUGUUUUCAUAAAAAUAAAAUAAAAAUCCUUUUGUUUGUGAAAAACAGUUUUCACCGUCCAAGACCACGAACCCUAAAUCACCUUCAUGCGACUUCUCCGUCAUCUCUACCCCAAGAUUCCACUUUUUGGUGUUGAAGAUGAUAGAGUCAGUUUGCUUCCACCCAAGAAAUUCAAGACAAAAAAGGAAGGAUAGAAAAUCAGAUUUUGAUUAUGAGGCCAAGGUUAAAACAUAGGGGAUCAAAUUCUCAAUUUCUCUCGUGUGGGUGAAACAGACUCAAGACAGGACAAGAGAAAGACACUAAAACAAGCUCAAGACGGGACAUGAGCAGGAGUGUGUUGAGAUGGGGAUUGAGUUUCUUCUCUAUUGUAGUUGCACGGCUUGUAACACUCAAAUCUUUAGCAUCUUGAAAUGAACAAAGGAAAUCAGAUACCUUAUUGUUCCUAAAAGUUUAUUGGCAUUGUAAAAAGUUUAAAUUGUAGAUCUCAUCAACGUCCUCUUUUGAGCA